ensembl:snRNA U1 U1 spliceosomal RNA
AUACUUACCUGGCAGGGGAGAUACCAUGAUCACGAAGGUGGUUUUCCCAGGGCGAGGCUUAUCCAUUGCACUCCGGAUGUGCUGACCCCUGGGAUUUCCCCAAAUGUGGGAAACUCAACUGCAUAAUUUGUGGUAGUGGGGGACUGCAUUCGCGCUUUCCCCUG